rnacentral:lncRNA from 1 species
AAACCAGAGUUGGUAAACCCAAACCAGUAACCCAAAUUAUAAAUCUAUGAAGUUUUAUUGUUUUGUUGAUUAUAUAUGAUCAUUAGACACAGAGUUGUAGAAUAGCAGUACGAAAUUGAAGUUUUGGGGAGAGUCUAUAAAAUGGAAAGCAUCUGGUGUGAAGUCUAUAAAAGACCGUAUCAGGUCAUUUCAAGUUCUUCUGUGAGUUGGAAUUUGGCUUAAUAUAAAUGGUUUCGAAGUGGUAUCGCUUCCUUCUGUUCUGGAAGAGGAUAUUAAAGCAGCAAAGAAUGCUAUAGUUCAGUUAAGUGGAUAUAAAAAUCCUGGGAGGGUCAUCUCUCCCAGUAUUAAAAAUAAAGUGAUAACAUGGGGAACUUUGUAGUAAAAAUAGAGAUAAAGUACAAGUCUUGAUACGGAGAGAGAAAGAGGAUAUUUAAAUCAUUUCAAAUUCUGUUCUAAAGAAUAAACCAGUCUGAGGUUUUUUCCCUUUUAAAAUGAGCAAAUAAAGACCAAUAAAACCUUAUCAUACUCUAAUUUAGUCUUUUUCAUAGAUAGGAAAAAUACUUCCUAAAGAAAAUUGAAAAGUAAGCAUCAUCAAAAGAUUAUAAAAGAUAUUCAUGUAAUCAGGAAAACAAAAUUACCUAUAUGGUAAAUUAGCAUAUAGCUUCCUUAACCAUUUUAUAGGGAUACAAACCUGGCAUGGCUUUAUUUUUCUAUUAUCACUUCCUUCAACCAUGCUCUGUCAAAUCCCUCUUCAUGGGCAGAUUCCCAGUUCCAUAUCUUUCUGUGUACUUUUGGGUAUUAAAAAAAUUCCUUCUGGUCCAAUUUAGAACUACAAUAGUAUAUUCAAUUUAAAGUUCUUCCCUUCCCCUUUCUCCAGAGCCAGUGGCUCUUCCAUUCUCAGGCCAGGGAUUGAAUUUGCGCCACAGCAGCAAUCCAGGCUGCUGCAGUGACAAUGCUGGAUCCUUAACCUGCUGUGCCAGAAGGGCACUCCUUCAUUGCAGCUUCUUAAUAUAAAAGAUUAAGUUCCAGUUCUGUCUCUUCCACCGUCUCUCAGUGUCCACCUUUGAUUAUACAAUGUGAAGCCUCCUGCCACUGGAAUCCUCUUGACACCAAGCAUUCUUUUUGGGUGGAAUACCAGCAAGAUAUUCCAAGCCACCUUCUGUGGUACUUAACUUUUGGAAAUUCCUGCAUGUUUGCCAUGCCAAGUGAUGGAAGUUUCAGUUAUCUCAUUGUUGCCCCAAUUCAGCUAUUUCUCUCAAAUUAUCAGGACAGAUCAGCUAUUCAUUGCCUAACCCAGUAUUUCUUAAAGUGUAGUCCCUAGAGCAGCAGCCACAUCACCUAAAAAUUUGUUAGACAUGCAAAUUCUUGGGCCUAGUGGGGCCCAUUGAUCUGUAUUCUGUCAUGCCCAAACAGCUGGCUGGAGUAUACAAACGCGGAAUGAGAUGCCAGUUUUCUCUUGCCACAAGUACUCUCAGAGAUGAAUUUUCUUGGAAGCCCCCAGCCCCACUUUGAGUAGGGGGAGGGAAAGCUAUAGGACUCCCCAAGUAACUUCUUAGAAUUUCUAAUGUUAUUGUUAUUAUUGUUGUGUAGACUGGAAAGGUAGGAGUGGGGAAAGCAGCAGAUGUCAUAGGAGGAGGAAUAUUAUCUGGUAUUAUGCACUAUUAUACUAGGGUAACAAUCUCCAAAUCUUAGUGGCUUAUGGAUACAAAAAUUUAGUUCUUACUUAGUGUGAAUCACUUAUUCACAUUAGCUGCAUGUCAGUUGCAGGUCUCCUCCACAACUUUUUCUUCUAGGACCCAAACUGGACUCAGCUCCAUAUCUGAGACAUGCCAUUUUCAAGGCAGAGGAAAAAGAGGCAUGAUGGAAUCACUUGAAAGCUCUUAAAAUUCUAUCUAGAUGUGGCAUAUGCUACUUCUACACACAUUCUGUUGGCCAAAGCUGUUCAUAUGGAGAAGGAAGUAUAUUCAUCUCAAAAGGAGGGAUUUGGGGGAGUUCCCUUGUGGUGCAGUAGGUUAAGGAUCUGGCGUUGUCACUGCCAUGGCUAGGGUUGUUGCUGUGGUGCAGGUUCUAUCCCUGGCCCAGGAAGUUCCACAUGCUGUGGGUAUAGCCACAAUUUAAAAAAAGGGAUUUUACUAGUGGGCCAGGUAGAGUAGAGCUGUGAGUAUUUUGGACAGAUACUACAAUUGAUCACAGUUGCACAAUAAAUUGUAACUAUUAUAUUGUUAAAGCACAGUUCUUUCCUUUAAAGACAGUAGGAGAGUAAAUACUAAUAAAUAUGCAACAAUCAGGGAACAGCUAAUACUAAACAAUAUACAUGAAGUAUAAUGAUAACAUGGGUUUAGAGAAGAGACAAUGUUGAGACAGUCUGCAUAGUGAAUGACAGGUGUGAUUGGGGUGGCAGGACAUGAGAAGGGAGGGAGUUCAAGAAUGGGGCAACAGGUUAAGCCCUCACCUGGAUAGGGGUAAGCAUAACUGGUAGAAAAGUCAGAGAAGAGACCACUAUUUACAGACUAGGGUGACCUGAAUUUACAGUCAGGGAGGAUAGGGUUAAUGAGAGAGAGUAGUCUCAUAUUAGGGAGGACUUCAAAAACCAAGGGAAAAAUUGGAUUUGGUAUUGUAGAUAGUAGGGUAUUUUGUUUAUCAGUUUUAGAGAUAGAUUCAGUAAAACCAUAAGAUCCAAUCAAAAGGGAGAGCUAGAUUGAGAAGUAGAAUGCUAUUUCUGCUACUUAUUAGCUAUUUUUCUUUGGAAAAGUCAGUGGUCAUUCAUUCAUUCAUUCAUUCAAAUAAGUAUUUAGUAUUAUUAUGUAUUAGAUGCCAUUGCAGGUACUAGAGAUACAAAGUUAAAAUGAUAGAGAUCCUGCUUUUAACAAAGUUUUAGACAGGUGGAAAAUAACUAUAAAAAAUGAAAUAAUGACAGAUGACAAGGAGGCCACAAUGAGGAACAAGCAUGGUAGUAUGCCUGAUGCUCUUUGAAGUAGACCAUAAACAGAUUCUACCAAUGGCUCAAUUAAAUUCUUUAUUUUCAAUAUACUGUAGCCGUUUUAAAUUAAUGGAGAUGUCAUAGAUAUUCUUUAGGGAUGAAAAGCAAGCUGAAGGUCUGUAUGUAAAGUAUUAUCUCAUAUGAGUUGGAAAAAUAUUUGUAUAUGCAUAAAAGAGUUCAGGCAGUGAUGGGGAGGAAGUUAAAAUUUUUAUUUUUAUACUCUUCUAUUUAUUCACAUUUUUUACUAUACUAUAUUUUAAUUGUAAUUACAACUAGUUAAAAAAAAUCUCUCCAUAAUCAAUCUUUAUCCAUGACUUUAUCUCUAUAGACUCAAACAUCCUAAUUCUAAAACUUUAAUGUUAAUACACUCCAACUCUGACCUGACUUCUUUCAUUUAUUCAACUUUUAUCCUGGUAAUCCUAGUUGUGUCUCCUUUUAGGGUCUCAUCAAAGAGCUAUUCUUUUCUUAAGUAUUCUGAGGUUUGCUUCUGUUAUUUGUCUUUGUUUUUAUUUUUAAUUUUUUAUUGUGGUGAAACAUAUAUAACAAAAUUUGCCAUCUUACCCAAUUUGAAAUUUGUAUUUUUUGGUAUUUAACCCUUUUUCUCAAUGAACAUGUUCCUUCACCACCUCAUUCUUCCUCCAUAGAACAAGCAACAUUUUCUAAAACGACAGUCCUGAAACUGAUAGUUAUGACCAAGUCUGGGCUAUUUGAGAGCAGAAAACAAUCCAGGAUAGGGGACAUGAUCAUGUCAUAUAGUAUAUAGGUCAGGUAUUAAGUUGUUCUUGAGGGCAAGAGCUAGGCUUUGGUUCAGAUUUCUGGGUAUUCAGAGACAGUGAAUAAAAAAUCUAGAUAAGGAGUAGGGCUCAAGACUCCAGGAGUCCAAGGAGUCAGGACUCAGUUUAGGAGAUUGAGGACAAACACAAGAUAAUUGCAUUGUUAAUAUGGAGCAAUAGCAGUACCAGGAAAGAAAGGAGAUUGCUAUUACAUACUUUCUGCAAAAAGCAGAAGCUGGGCUUGGAGCAUGGGUGGACUCACCUGACCUAGAAGAGAGAAGGGGGUGGCACUUUGAGAGAAAGGUUGGAGGAUAAGGCAGUUUCUAUUUACCUUCUUUAGACUUUCUAUUGGAAAGUCUUCCUCCUCUUUGGAGUAGGAAUAUAUAAACUCACAAACCAAACCACUUACCACUCCCACACCCUGUCAAACACUCUCACUCUCUCUCUCUCUCUCUCUCUCUCUCUCUCUUUCUCUCUCUCCCGCCCUCUCUCUCCAGCCUACAUGAAGGAGAUCUUUGGGGCUUUGGAUGUUGAGUUCGGUAAUCUUUUACUGGGAUGCAUGAUAUAUUAAUGAUCUGAUAAAAUAAGACUACACUUAUUAUUCUGAUAAAUAUUUCAAUACUACCCUUUAGAAACUGACUUUUAAAAAAUAUUAGGCCUCUUGUUUAGGAACAUAUCUUUUGAUGUUUCUGUCUUUACCAAAUCCUGGUUUGUAUUAGAACUUCUAUUUCUGGGGAGAUUAUUAGAAAGUUAUUGAAAAACAGGUAGAUAAUCUGGAAUUUUUCAAAUUGUCCCACCCAUUUCAAAGUGUUUUUUAGAUAUAAGUUUGAAGUCCAUACUACCUUUAAGCUACAAUCUAUUAGAUUUUUGUAUUUUUGUUUGGAUAAAUUUGUUACUCCCCCCUUCUUCCUUUCUUCUUCCUCUUUUCCUUCUUCUUUGCUCCUCCCUCCCUCCUACCCUCCCUUCCUUCCUCUCUCUUUCUCCCUCCAUGCCUCUCUCCUGCCUCAGACCCAGCUUUCUCAUUCAUUUAAAUGCAUUUUAUUAUUUUGAAUUAUACUCUAAGCUUUUUUAAAAUUUUUAAUUUUUUAAUACUCAAUGAAUUUAUUACAUUUAUAGUUGUACAAUGAGCAUCACAAUCCAGUUUUAUAGCAGCGCAUCCCCCCACCCCCCCAAUCUGUCUCAUUUGGAAACCAUAAGUUUUUCAAAGUCUGUGAGUCAGUAUCUGUUCUGCAAAGAAGUUCAUUGUGUCCUUUUUUCAGAUUUCACAUGUCAGUGAUAGCAUUUGAUGAUGGUGUCUCAUUGUCUGACUGACUUCACUUAGCAUUACUCUAAGCUUCUUGAGGUAAAACUUAUAAACAGGUUUUUAUAUGAAAUUAAGACCAAAAUAUUCAUAGGAAACAUUUUAUACCUA